GACAACCUUGUACCUUUGCUUAUUUUAUGAUGCAGGGAGAGAGUAUGGUGUGGUGUGUCAACCAGUUGGAUUUUGAUCAAAUGAGGGGUACUAUAUUGAAUGCACUUGCUGAUGUUUAUGUGGAAGAUGGAAUUAUUUUCGCACUGCAGCCAAACAUCAAGGUAUAACUAAUUUAUCCUUCAUUUUUUUGGUAGUCUGAA